UACGUAGGGUGCGAGCGUUAAUCGGAAUUACUGGGCGUAAAGCGUGCGCAGGCGGUGCUGUAAGACCGAUGUGAAAUCCCCGGGCUUAACCUGGGAACUGCAUUGGUGACUGCAGCGCUGGAGUAUGGCAGAGGGGGGUGGAAUUCCACGUGUAGCAGUGAAAUGCGUAGAGAUGUGGAGGAACACCGAUGGCGAAGGCAGCCCCCUGGGCCAAUACUGACGCUCAUGCACGAAGGCUAGGGGAGCAAACAGG
rnacentral:rRNA from 1 species